rnacentral:ncRNA from 1 species
CAACCUCAACUCAUAUGGGACUACCCCCUGAAUUUAAGCAUAUUAAUUAGGGGAGGAAAAGAAACUAACAAGGAUUUUCUUAGUAGCGGCGAGCGAAAAGAAAUCAGUUCAGCACUAAGUCACUUUGUCUAUAUGGCAAAUGUGAGAUGCAGUGUACGGAACAUCAACAUUCUAGUAUGAGAAGUUAACGAUUUAAGUCCUUCUUAAAUGAGGCCAUUUACCCAUAGAGGGUGCCAGGCCCGUAUAACGUUAAUGAUUACUAGAUGGUGUUUCCAAAGAGUCGUGUUGCUUGAUAGUGCAGCACUAAGUGGGUGGUAAACUCCAUCUAAAACUAAAUAUAACCAUGAGACCGAUAGUAAACAAGUACCGUGAGGGAAAGUUGAAAAGGACUCUGAAUAGAGAGUUAAAUAGUACGGUGAAACUGCUAGAGGUCAGGCCGGAUGACUGAUAUCCGGUUAUGGAAAUUCAUCAUUAGAAUGGUAAUAUUUUAAACAA